GACGAAUGCUGGCGGCGUGCCUAAUACAUGCAAGUUGAGCGAUGAAGAUUGGUGCUUGCACCAAUUUGAAGAGCAGCGAACGGGUGAGUAACGCGUGGGGAAUCUGCCUUUGAGCGGGGGACAACAUUUGGAAACGAAUGCUAAUACCGCGUAACAACUUUAAACAUAAGUUUUAAGUUUGAAAGAUGCAAUUGCAUCACUCAAAGAUGAUCCCGCGUUGUAUUAGCUAGUUGGUGAGGUAAAUGCUCACCAAGGCGAUGAUAAAGAGCCGACCUGAGAGGGUGAUCGGCCACAUUGGGACUGAGACACGGCCCAAACUCCUACGGGAGGCAGCAGUAGGGAAUCUUCGGCAAUGGACGAAAGUCUGACCGAGCAACGCCGCGUGAGUGAAGAAGGUUUUCGGAUCGUAAAACUCUGUUGGUAGAGAAGAACGUUGGUGAGAGUGGAAAGCUCAUCAAGUGACGGUAACUACCCAGAAAGGGACGGCUAACUACGUGCCAGCCGCCGCAGUAA
rnacentral:rRNA from 1 species